rnacentral:lncRNA from 10 species
GUUGGAUAGAAAUGUUCAUAGCAGCAUUAUGCAUAAUUGCUAAAAUCCUGAAGCAACUUAAUGCCCAUCAACUGAUGAAUUAAUGAACAAAAUGUGGUAUAUUUCCAAAACAUGUUCAGACAUAAAAAGGAAUAAGUAUUGCUACAUGAUAUAAUAUAGAUGAAUCUUGAAAACACUGUGCUAAUGGAAAGAAGCCAGUCACAAAAGGCUACAAUAUGGCUUGAUUCCACUGACAUGAAUUAUCCAAACUGCGUAAAUUUGUAGAGACAAAAACUAGAUUUCUGGUUGUCAGGAGAUGAGAGAAGGGAAGAAUUGGGACUCACUGCUAAUCAGUAAAGGGUUUCUUUUUGGGGUGGCAGAGAUAAUCAAGAGUGAGACACUAGUGAUGGUCACAAUACAUAGUUAAUAUACUAAAAAUCACUGAAUUAUAUGCUUUUAAACAGUGGAUUUUAUGUUAUAUAGAUUAUAUCACAAUAAAAAAUAAAUUGAGAGAAACCUCUCAUAAGAGAUUAAAUUUGACUCUAUGGGAUUCAUCCUAACUGUGGGACCAGAGUGGGUUAAGGGCUGAGAUUCACUUAUCUUCUUUCUGAGUUAUUGUCAUCUGAGAUAUUCCUGGCCUUUUAAUCUCUAAAAUUUGCAGUGGAAGCAUCCCCCACCUCACCCACUGGGCAUCAGGUCCUAAGAAGUUCUUCUGAUUCAGUAUUUUCUCAGCCUUUUAGUCUCAACUUCCCCACUGAGUGCCAUUCUAAUGCUAUAGUAAGUGUGGACCUAGCCAUGUAGCCAACACUGUAUCCUAGGAGCUGAUAGUUUUGGUCCUGAGACACAAUGGCUGCUGUCACUCACUACAGAAUUGCUUAGGCCUGUGAAACCUGGCUCCCAGUGAAGAUUCUCCUGCCCCUCAGUCCCCAGAACUUUUCCAGCUGGAGAGCAAUUCUCGGGAAUUUCCCAUUCCCGAGAAAGAGUCAGGCUGUAGCUGCUGAAAGAAAUGCAGAUAUAGAGAAUUCAUCUAACUGAAACUGAACAGAAUGAGAAGUUGGAGAGAAUAAGUUUGGAAUUUAAGUUGGGAUUUGAGGCUUUACUUUCUUUGGAUUCAUACUGCUCAACAAAGACAGCAGGAAUUUUUCAGACUUUAGCUUUUAUGGACUUUAAGGUAAGAAUUUGGAUUUCUUAUUUAAGCAAGUUCCUUAAAUAAAGCUGCUUCUGGUGAACUGCAUUCCUUGCAGCCUCAUGGAAAAAAAUCUCUCAUGAUUACUCCCCAAGAGAUGAUGUUUCCUCUGGUUUAGGAUGCUACAGGCUCUGAACAUUUUCUGUCUGUCAUGUCUUUUAUGAUAUACGUCUCAAGUGUUUUCAUUUUCUCCACUAGUAGUUUCAGGAAGACUGAGCUGAUUAACCUACCUGAGAGGUUUCUUUUCUUCUGCCAAGUAGGAUCAUGAUGUUGGCAGGAUCUGAGUUCUUUCUGUUUACGUUUCCAUUGCUCUCAGGCCCAGACAUUUUACUAGUAUAUUCUGCUAGAUUGUGGUUAAUAGAGUUUUCCAUGGUGAGAUAUAUGAAAAUAGCAGGUUCUGGGUCUGUCGAAAAUAGCAGGUUCUGGGUCUGUCAAAAAUAUCUGCUGUUCAAACAUAUUUUGUCUACAGUCAAGCUUCCUGGGAAGAUGAUCCAUCCCAGAAGAUACCCCUCCAUCACCCAACAUCUAUAAUGCGCUCAGUACAUAUUAUAGUUCUUCUGUCCACACCCCUCCAAUAUAAAUGAUCUUUUCUGUGCCUUACCUCGAGUCCUAACCAAAAAUUGCUUGGGGAUGUUUCUUCAGGGAACGGUGUAUAAUACAUCAUCACCUUAAGUCACCUCCUUUUUUUUAGUUUUUUAUGCUGCUCUGCCCCACGUUUGCCCUCAAAUUUGUUCUAAUAUUGUGUAACCAAGUCAUACAGUUGUCUCAAUAUUUG